GAUCAUGGCUCAGGAUGAACGCUAGCUACAGGCUUAACACAUGCAAGUCGAGGGGCAGCGGGGAUUGAAGCUUGCUUCAAUUGCCGGCGACCGGGCGCACGGGUGAGUAACGCGUAUCCAACCUUCCGUACACUCGAGGGACUAGCCUUUCGAAAGAAAGAUUAAUACCUGAUGGUAGUCCUUAAGCACGACAUGUAAUUAAGAUUAAAGAUUUAUCGGUGUACGAUGGGGAUGCGUUCCAUUAGGUAG
rnacentral:rRNA from 1 species